GCCCACAGGGGCCUUCAGCCUCCUGAGGGAGAACUUCUCCCAGGCACCGAGCCCAGACAUGAGCACCACCUGCCUCUCCACGCUGGAGCGACUCAUGGCCACCCAGGCCCAGGAGUGUGUCUUUGAAGGCCUUUCACUGCCAGCCCUGGCCGUCCCCCACGACUGCCUGGCUCAGCUGCACCUGGCUCAGGAGGCGGCCCAGGUAAGGCCAGGGAGCCCUGCCCAGGACCCUCAACAACAGGCCCUCCACUGGCAGGAGGCCUGGGAGAGCAUGGAGUCUGCGGACAGGACCACAGGUCGGAAAAGCUAGUCAAGAGACAGAGACGGGUACCCCCCCCCCCCGGCCUCCCCAAAACCAGCUGCUGCUGUUCAUAGCGUCCUGAGUCCCUGCCUCAGGGGACAGCAUGAUCAGGGCAGGAACUGGGGCCCUGAGCGCCCAGGCUAUGGAGAGGCAGGAGGCUCAGGCUGGCUGCAGGGCCCCACUAGCUUUGUCUCUUGAGCUCCAAUGUGCCCACACAUCUGCUGGCAGGUGGCAGCUGAGUACAGGCUUGUGCACCAGGCCAUGGCCCAGCCACCUGUCCAGGACUACGUGCCUGCCUCCUGGAUCACCCUGGUGCACGUCAAGGCUGAACAUUUCCACGCCCUGGCCCACUAUCACGCAGCCACAGCCCUCUGUGACGGCUCCUGUGAGUGCCCUGCCCCGUGUGCCUGUGUGCCUGCCAGGUGCCUGCUCACAGCUCAUGGCCUGUCUGAUCCCCAGUGGCAGCUGAAGGAGAGCUCCCCGCGUAUGAGCAGGUCUUCCAGCCCCCAACCCCUGGCGAGCCCCACAGCCCGACGCUGCCCCAGCAACCCGAGGAGCGCAGAAACCUUGGUGAGGCACAGAGGGCUCUGGUGCUCACGCCCUGGGCCAGCUGCCGCAGUGUGCUCCUCCCCCACCUGCCCCCAGUCCUGCCCCAGUGGGUAACUGUGGAGAGCGGGGCCUUAGCAGUGCAGGGCAGCCCCGCAGAUGGGGGUGCCCUAGGGGAAGCUCCACCCCAGCCCUGCUGUUUGCACCUCCCGACCCCCGACCCCCGUAGCCCACACCCUACCUGCCACAUCCUGGGGGCAGGGGGCAGGGUUGGCCUCCAGGGGCCAGCAGGCGGGCCAUCAGCGUGUGACGAUGCUGUGCUCUGUGUGCAGCCAAGGCCCACCUGAAGCGCGCCAUUCUGGGCCAGGAGGAGGCGCUGAGGCUGCAUGCUUCAUGCCGUGUCCUGCGCAAGGUGGACCUGCUGCAGGCUGUGGUGGCCCAGGCACUGAGGCACUCGUUGGCCAAGUACUCGGAGCUCGAGCGCGAGGAUGACUUCUUUGAGGCCGCUGAGGCCCCAGACAUCCAGCGUGAGCAGCCUGGGCCCAUCCAGAUGGGUGUGCCCUCAGCCUGGCUAGAGGAAGAUGGCUGAGCCCUGAAGUGCCCCUCAAAGAUGCAGUCUCCAAGGCCACAUGCAGGACCUUUGGGGCCAGGGAGGGCGGGAGCUCCAGCUGGCCCGAGGAAGCACCUGGAUCGAGACCCCCUGCUCUCUCCCUUUCCACCCUUUCCCCUUCUGACUCCUGCCCGGGGGGACCCUGUGGUCAGACAGAGACAGCUGGGCUUCAGGGAGGGGUCCUGGAGCAGGUGGAGGGGCGCCUGUUCAGGGACCUGGGGCAGCUCUACCCUCCAGCUACCAGAGGGCCGUGUGCACCUAGUGUUGCCGGCUCCUCUAGGGUGGAGUCAGGUCCCUCUGGUGGAACCAGCGGCCUGAGGCCCCUGAGCCUUGGGCUCAGCCCUGCUCCUCCAUUCCUUCCCACCCCUCUCAGCUAAGACCCACCAGAAGUCCGAGGUCAGGGUGCCCAGCCUGUCCUUCAUGAAGGCGGCCGACAUCUUUCACCGUCUGGUGAGCAAGCUGCUCCUGCCCUCUCUCUACAGCAGGCUUGGGCAUUAGGUUCUGCCCUGUAUGUCCACUGGCAGGAGCCCCCAAUGGUCCCUGGGUGGUGGCCCAGCCCUGUGCCUCCUACUGGCACCUCCCUGGCUCCUGUCCUGAGAGGUACAGGUGCUUGCCAGGCCGGGCCCCUCGGACUGCAGCCAAGCCAGCCUCUGACCCCUGCCUCCUCCAGGGACCCCUGCCCGUGUUCUCAGCCAAGAAUCGGUGGCAACUGGUGGGGCCCAUCCACCUGACCCGGGGAGAGGGCGGCUUCGGCUUCACGCUUCGGGGAGACUCCCCCGUCCUUAUUGCUGCUGUGGUCCCUGGCGGGCAAGCUGCGGUAAGGGCCCGCUGGCCUUGGAGGCUGAGUCCCCAGGACUCCAGCCAGACCUGCUCUUGCUCCUCACUGGUCUGUGUCCCCAACAGGCGGCUGGCCUCCAGCAGGGUGACUACAUCGUGUCCCUGAACGGGCAGCCCUGCAAGUGGUGGAGGCACGCGGACGUCGUGGCGCAGCUGAGGGAGGCGGGCGCAGCGGGCGUGAGUCUGCAGGUGGCUUCACUGCUGCCCAGACAUGAGCCACGCAGCACAGUGAGUCCUGGGGCCUGGGCCUGGACCUCCCUGGUGCUCAUGAGGCCUCUGAAAGAGGAGCGGUGGGCAGUGGCCCUCACUGGGGUGGCCUUCUGACGAGUGGCCACCUGUGCUGCUGCAUCACCUGGUGGCUGGCCUCCCCCCCAGAAAGGCCCCCCACCUCAGCAGGAUCCGAGGCUUCCAGCUGGGUUCCUCCAGAGGUCACGUCCACCUGGUGGGUCCACCCAAGGACUGGGUGACGAGCAGCAAGGGGAACAGAGCCCCUGGACAUGCCCCCAGCACGCCUGCCUCCUCCCUGGCUCACUACAGGCCACCCAGGUGGUAGCUGACCACAUCCUUCUCUGUCCUGGCUGCAGGGGGACCGCCAGCCAGCUCUGCUGGGCCCAGGGAGGCUUCCGAGGAGCCAGAGAGCGUGCGGUUUCGAGAUGCCAGCACCCACCCGUGCCAGUCCCCAGCCCCUCCUUGUCUGGAGCCGCAGGGCCAAGCAGAGCAAGCCCGGGGGCCGCCCCCCACCCUGCACUGGUGGGGACUGUGGCACCUGUCCCUGAGUCAGCCAUGGUCCCUGCACCCUCCAAGUGCCCAGCGUGUCUCUGAGGACUGGAAGCAGCCCAAGCAUUCUGUUUCUCACCCUCAGGGACCUUCAGGCUGGGCCUGCCCUGCUCGGGGCCAGAGCUGCCCAUUAAAGACUCUGGUUAGACAAGCCAGAUCAGAGCCCAGUGCUGGGGCCACGGCCACCUCACCAAGAGGAAGCACCCCCUGCCCUUUGGGCACAGUGCUCAUACAGCCACUCUCCGAGGAGGACAGUGGGGGUGGGGUGAGGGGUCUCUCCCUGAGAGAUGCUGUAGGCUCUGGGUGGGGCUUUACUCUGCAGCACGCCCCUGGCCCCAUGUAAUCCUGUCCACAUGCUCAGAGCCCUGUCCACCUUGCUGCUGCCCUGGCUGCAGCCUCGCUUCAGCUGCCCUGGGCUCCAAACCUCCACCCAGCCCUCCAAAGGCCAAGCUUCUGCCUCAUGUGUGGUUCUGCUCUGGGAACCCCUGGACUGUCCUCACCCCAGCUGGACAAAGCUAGGCCCCCUUGCUGAUUAGCUGCUCUCCGAAUAGGGUCCCAGCAAAGGCCGGUUGUUCUCCGGCCCUUGUCUGCCGCCCAGGAAGCACUGGCAAAGAGACUGAGCCCCCUGGUAGCCUGCACUUGCUGUCUCUGUGUCCAGCCCCACCUGCCCGCCAGGGCCCUGGCAGCCCUCGGAUGUGCCUCCACGGGCAGGAGCAGUGAUCCCCAGGUCCCUUGGAGGGGUGGGCUCAGGACCUGGGCCCCAAAUGGAUGAGGUGAGAAGGGGAGCACGGGCCACAGGCCAAGCCGUACCAGACAGAGGCCACAAGGGGCCCUUCCACCAAGGGCCGGGGGGGUUGAGGACAGGACCCUGGUCACUGGUGUUACUCCCCAAGGCCACCAGGGGGCAGCCGCCACCCACUGACAGCCACAGGAGGGGAGAGUAUGAGGCAGCAGAUCAAGGAAGGCAGAGCAGUCCACUCUGCACUCUGGCCCUGGUUCCAUGGUCCUGGGCCUGCUGUCCAUUACCCCUGCACACCACCCGUCAGCACUGACGGCCAGGUCCCAAGUGGGGGUGGUUCAUGUGUGUGUGUAGGCAUGGGGGGUAAGUGUGUGUUUGGAAGCCCUGAGCACAGAGGCGCCCUCUUCCAAAGCAGAAGGGCAGGACUCCCGGGCCUGCGGGAGUUGGGGGUGGGAGUCCCAGGGUGUCCUGCCACCACAGCCCACCUGGGAGAAUCCCCGUCAGCAGAACAGGCUAAGGUCACGCAGGAGGUCUCAGCACGUGUUAAGUCGAUUAAUAAAAUCAUGCUUCAAGAAGGUCAUUA
rnacentral:lncRNA from 1 species